AUGAAUGAACCACCGGGAGCUCGUAUGAGAGUUUGUUUAAAUGCCCUAACCAUGGUAGGAUAUUUCGGAGAUGUUAAUAACCAAGACGUGCUUUGAUUUAUCUAUAAUAUCUUUCAUUUUGUUCAAGCAGGAUCAGAGAUAUCCACUUUAUUAGGGAGAAUGCCCUCCACAGUGGGUUAUCAACCUAAUCUUAGUACAAAAAUGGGUUCGAGUCAACUUUCUUGGGUUGAUUGA
rnacentral:rRNA from 1 species